AUAUUGUGUUGUGUUCCAGCCUGGGUCUGUUGGUCAGUAAGGUGAAGGAGUACCAGGUAGUUUAUAUUGAUAUAUAUAUUGUGUUGUGUUCCAGCCUGGGUCUGUUGGUCAGUAAGGUGAAGGAGUACCAGGUAGUUUAUAUUGAUAUAUAUAUAUUGUGUUGUGUUCCAGCCUGGGUCUGUUGGUCAGUAAGGUGAAGGAGUACCAGGUAGUUUAUAUUGAUAUAUAUAUUGUGUUGUGUUCCAGCCUGGGUCUGUUGGUCAGUAAGGUGAAGGAGUACCAGGUAGUUUAUAUUGAUAUAUAUAUUGUGUUGUGUUCCAGCCUGGGUCUGUUGGUCAGUAAGGUGAAGGAGUACCAGGUAGUUUAUAUUGAUAUAUAUAUAUUGUGUUGUGUUCCAG
rnacentral:lncRNA from 1 species